AACAUAAUUUAAACCAUGAGUAUUUUUAUAAUUUACCCUUUAUUUUUUCGCCAGUUAAGAUUAAAAGAAACCGCGGGAACAAGAACGGAAGAGAGAAUCAGUGACUGAAAAACGAAACAUCCAACCGCUGAAAAAGACGGUCGGAAUAAUUGGCUUCUGAAAAACGACACAGUUUCCUUCACAACGCAUGAUUUGUUCUGCAGGUGAAGACUGAUUCAUCUCAUUGGACGCUAGGUAUUUUGUUUUCCAGGAAAAUUACUGUUUUGUUCAAGUUAGGGUAAAGAGAAAAAAAAUAGAAACUUGACAUUAUGGUGAACCGGGCUGAAUCCAUGAUUUAGGAUGAUGAAUCAUCAUUUAAAUUCUUUUGGAGUUGAUCUAAAAUGGGGAUAUUUUAAUUAAGGCCAGAGGAUGAUAUAAUGCACAUAACAUUGCAGAAGAGGGACAAGGGUCAGACCUGGUCAUCACCUAUAGGUCAGGGUCAGCUAGACCCAUAUUCGACUGAUCUCGGGCAAAAGCGCCUCAUGCUUCAUAGGUUUCAGGAAGAGUAUCUUGUCGCUUAGCAUGCGAGGUUAACCAGCAGCAAUAUGAAGAGAAAACGCAUGGUCAUAUAAAGGAAGCUUCUAACACUAAUGCUACGUUUGGUUGGGGUAUUAUUUUUUCCACAUGUUUUAGUCAUUGUUCACAAUUGGUAAUUUUUAGCCACUCUAAAGACUUGUUUGUGACAAAAAGAAGGAAAACUUUCUGCUUAUUUUGAAGAGGUGUUAUUUUUUACAAGGGUUUUACAUAUCUUUCUAAUUGCUUGUUUAUAUUUGUACUAAUUAUUCUUUAUUUUUAUGUCUAACUAUUUUAUCUCUAUUGAGGUCCUAUUGUCAUAGGUAACUUUUGGCUAAUAUACUACAUAAGGACAUAAAACAGUAUCUUAUAUGGAACAAAGCAAGAUUAAACUAAUAAUUAAUAAACCAAGAAGCUACUUUGUGAAUUACAGGACGAUUUGAUCUACAAAUGGGAGUUCGAUCUGUUCUAUAUUAAGAACCCAGGCUUUGAUUUCUCCCAAGCUCAUUUCUAGGGGAGCUGUCCUAAUCCAAGGACUUUUAUGGGCGGUAUCUGUGCUGACUGAGAAUCUUCAUGUGCUGGUUUGAUCACUUACAUUAUCCUGUCAUCAUAUCCUGACCUUUACGUAGUAAAUAAACAAAUCUAAUUUUGGUUUCUCUGUACUGCUUGAAUUAACUUAUUGAGUCAGCAAUCAAUCAAUGCGGUCUGCAAUCACCGUGUUCAAAUCUAAUACAAGAAAUUAGAUUUACAGUAUA